CAGCAGCCGCGGUAAUACGUAGGGACCAAGCGUUGUUCGGAUUUACUGGGCGUAAAGGGCGCGUAGGCGGCGUGUCAAGUCAAUUGUGAAAUCUCCGAGCUUAACUCGGAACGGUCAAUUGAUACUGAUGUGCUAGAGUGCAGAAGGGGCAAUCGGAAUUCUUGGUGUAGCGGUGAAAUGCGUAGAUAUCAAGAGGAACACCUGAGGUGAAGACGGGUUGCUGGGCUGACACUGACGCUGAGGCGCGAAAGCUAGGGUAGCAAACGGGAUUAGAUACCCCGGUAGUCCUAGCCCUAAACGAUGAAUACCUGGUGUCUGGAGUUUUAAUUCUCCGGGUGCCGUCGCUAACGUUUUUAGUAUUCCGCCUGGGGAGUACGCACGCAAGUGUGAAACUCAAAGGAAUUGACGG
rnacentral:rRNA from 1 species